AGCUGCCCUCUCCUCCCUUCUCCUUCAGGGGAAAGCUCCCAGGGGUCCAGAGCAGAGGUACUGGGCUGCAAAUCCAAGAGAGGUUUCUCCUAGGAUUUACCUCGAGGGGCUGUUGGAGGAAUGAAUGGGAACACACCUGAAAAUGCUUACGUUGCUACCUGGUAUGCAGCGAGUGCUUAGGUAUUCUUUUUCUCAGUAUACAAGCCACAGGUGGCAAAGUGGCUUUAGCCUGCAGGACAGAACCUGCUAGAGUGUACGUGGGCUUCCAGAAAUGAGAGUCUUCAGUUCUUUCCUCUCUAAACUGCCCCCUGGAAGGUUUGUGGUUCAGGAAGCAUAGGGGGGUUGCUGACCAUCCAAGGCCUCGUGACUGUGACCCAAGUUAAUGACAAUCCUUGGCCUUAGGAAAUGGCCAUGGUGCUUGGGGGGCGGGGGAGCCACCAUCCUAAAAUCUCCAGGACGUAUUGCAUGGGUGGCAUGAGGCUUUGGAGAGCGUCUGAGCUCCAGGAACCUUGAGAGAAAGGGAGAUAAAAGGUGCCGAGUGUCUCCGUGGAGCCAGGCACCAGGUGGCUCUUUGGCUCUGCUCCGAAUUUAUGGGACCCGUCUGCUUGAAGCUCUGCCAGGUGAGUGGCCUGGGAGACAGUCAGCUGGGGCCCUUGACUCUCUGGCUUCAGCUCUUGCCAUGUCCUCACUGUGGGCAGUGUCCUCUGACUUAGAGCCAGGAGGACACCAGUGUAUGGCUACAGCCCAAGGGAAGCUCCUGGUUCUGAAUGGCCCCAAACUCAGACCCUGAGCCCAUGGACGCCAGCCUCUGAGCAGCCACUCUGUUUCCUUGUAGCUUUUCUCUGGUAGAUUCUCUUUAGUGCCAUACGAAUCCUGCCUGAGAGAUGGAGUUUGUGCUUCCAGACAGAGCUUUCCUGGAGAGACUUUGGUUAACCUGAGUCCUCGUCGGCUGUGGGCAUAAAAUAUUAAUACCUCCCUGAGCGUGUGAGUUCCAGAGCCUUCCAGGCGCGGGGUCUGGUUUCACAUCCGGAGGCGAGACGGCAGCUGCAGGUAGGGUCUGUGGCCCUGGGCCCCAGCGCCUUAGCGCCCGGGGAGGAGCAGCCCCAGUCCAGCAGCCCCACUCCACGGCCACAUUCUGGGGAGCUGAGGUCAAGGAGCACGGCCACCGCGAGAGGUAUGUACCCUAGUGGACAGAGUGUGAUAAGGAGUCUUACUUCUGGAAUCUGAACUGAACUCCUCGGGCUGUUUCUGUGACUCUCAGUGGAACAGACUCGUUGCUUCCUUUAUAAUGACUAAAUCUAGAAACAUCCAUAGAGACGUGAUAGCAGAUGCAAUGUUCUCACCCACAGCCUUUUCCCCUAUAUGAUGGCUUCUUAACGCGGCAUCUGUGAGCCUCCCUCCAGAAGCUGAAUGCAAAAUCUUUGCAUAGGUUUUUGUUUUCUCCUGGAGAGAGGAUUCUUAAUUUUUCACUAGACUCUCAAAGAAGUUGGUGGUCCCGACCUCAAAAUUAAAAAUGGCAGUGCUGGAGUUCCCGUCGUGGUGCAGUGGUUAAUGAAUCUGACUAGGAUCCAUGAGGUUGCGGGUUCAAUCCCUGGCCUUGCUCAGUGGGUUGAGGAUCUGGCGUUGCCGUGAGCUGUGGUGUAGGUUGCAGAAGAGGCUUGGAUCCUGCGUUGCUAUGGCUCUGGCAUAGCUACAGCUCCGAUUGGACCCCUGGCCUGGGAAUCUCCAUGUGCCGCGGGUGUGGUCCUAUAAAGCAAAAAAAAAAAAAAAAAAAAAAGCAGUCUGUGUGCUGUGCUGAUGUUUGGGAGGGAACCGGCCUUUCUUAGCGUGAGCUGGGAUUUGGGGACGACCUUUCAGAAGGAUCCACCAGCCACUGGUCACCGUGAUUGUCUCAGAGGCAGUGAGUGUGAGGACAGACGGCAGGCGUGAGGGGGAGGCUCACUUUCAGCAGCGUUUCUCCUGUUUGAACUCGGCUGGGGUAAAGCCAGCCCCUCAGGAAAACAGUCCCGCAGGGCAGCACGCUGCCAACCUGACUAUCAGAAGAACCUGAGCAGCGAGGCAUGUGAACGGCGGAACCGAGACUGAACAAGGGGCAGCUAAUUUGGGUGGGCAGCUGCUGCUCCUCUAAAAUAAGAAGGUGGCCAAGGUCAAAGACUGCCUCACAGCUGGCCCGGAGGCGGCUGUGGGAGUUUGGCGAGGGGCACCCUCCUCGCGGGGUGUUUGACAGCCUGGUACCCUCGUGGUAAUCUUGGUAUCUAGGGCCUUCAUGGAUGGAGCCCAAAGCACAUGUGCAAACCCCAUGUACCCCCUCGGAGCCCUGCCAGCCUAUGGGUUAGAGCUUAGGCCCUCAUGUCUGGUGGGAGGGACUCUUGAGGACGGAGGUGACUCUGCCCCGCUUCCCCAGAGGGAGGUCCCCCAGGAGGUCACUGUGGCCGAGCAGCCUGGGUCGCCCACAGGUCGCCCCUGGCAGCUGCCAACCUACCAGGCAGGCCCAGCCGGGUGAGCUGUGCUGCAGGCCACAUUCCUCAGCCAUGAUGUGCUUUGCCAGGGCCAGAGGCCUGGUGUCCAUCCAGCCUUCACAAGCUGGGUUCCGGUCACAGGGAUAGCUGAAGAGGCUUCAGAUGCGUGUUAACUAUUUGCCUGAGGCCAAGUGAGCAACUGGUCAGGAGGUGUCCGUGGAGUGGGGCUGCCCCCUCCUAUCUGCUUCAUCCCGUUCUUGGGGCCUCAAGGCGGCGAAGAGCUGCCGGGCUGCUUUGACAUCUUGUUCUCUGAAGCAAACACCUAACCUUGCCAGUAAGUCGCCGGCCCUUGUUGGAUGGAUAGGCAUCCAGCUUGCACUCUGCCCACUCACAGCAAACCUGCCCCCACUGCAGAUGCGGCCCUGGGGCCACACAGAGGCUCAUCGCCUGUCCACAGCCUUCCUCCACAAGGUUCUCUGGGAAGUAGUGCACCCCACCACCCCGGUUCACACAGGACGGAGGGAUUUCCCAGGAUGCACGACGUUCGGUCUUAAAACCAGGACAGUCCUGGGCAAACCUGGAUGGCUGGUCACCCUCGCUGGAAGCCUGCCACCAGAACGACAUGCCAGGACGUCCUUCAAGGGCAGGGAUGAUGCAUUUCUCUCUUUCGUUUUUUUUCUUUCUUCUUUCCUUCCGUUAUUACAGACUUUACAGAAAAGUUGCAAGAAUAAAACAAAGAAUUCCCAGAUACCCACCACCUCGAUGCCCCAAGUUUAAAAUUUCCUUUUCGCUUUAUCCUUUUCUCUCUCUCUGAAGCAGCAGACAUGAUGCCUUUUUACUCCUAAAUACUUGAGUGUAUAUUUCCUAAAAACAAGACGGUAUAACCUCUGUACAAUGACCACAAUCAGCAACUUGAUGCGGAAACAACGCUGCUGUUGAAUCUUUGGUCUGCGUUGGCAUUUCAUCACCUGUCCCCAUAAUGCCCUUUAUGGGGCAAGAAAAUGCAAGCCGAGGUGUGGCCGUGCAUUGUCGUGUCUCUUUAAGCCUGUUCCACCUGCAGUCAUUUCUGGGUUUUUUCUUCGUCUUUCAUGAUGUUGACAUUUUGGAAGAGGACAGGCAAGCCAGGUACUUUGUAGAUGGCUGGACCAGCAGUGCCCGACUCCUACCUGGCCCCUGACACGUGCCACCACUUAUUAGGUAUUGAAUACCCCAGUGCACCAGGCUUUGGGCGUACAUUGUCUGGUUCAUCUCUUCAACCACCCUUUGAAGGACAGGUGUUAUGGUUAUGCUCGUUUUGUACACGAGGAAAACAGGCUCAGAGGUAAGGGGCUUGUCUGAGGUGUUUGAGCCCAGUUUUAACCCCAGAGCCCAAGCUCCUAAUUCCUGGGCCAUUGUGUUCUGGGGCGUUUUCUUGGUGUUGUAUUUGCAGGUGUUGUUUCUUUUCAUUUCUGGAACUCUGAGGUCCAUCAGUUGUGGUCUGUGUACCCAGCCAUCCCUACCCAGAACUGCCCCUUCUACACCUAACAAGAUAAGACGGCUAAGCCUUGGACUUUCCCCAGGCCGCAAGAAACUCAGGGGCAAUUAGCCUUCAGAGCCUUGAGACGGCUUUCAAAUGGGUGCAGAGGGUUAUGGGGUGAAAGUUCACCUUCGAGUCUUUCUGAUCUGAGUUCCUGUUACGGGUUGGAGAAGGACAUGAACGGAGGAACCCUCUCUGGUCUGGUCUCUCUGGCUGUGACUGGAGCUGAAGCAGCAGAGUCACCUGGCUCCCCCUGCUGCCUCUCCCCUGCCUCUGCCUGGAACUGCAUCCUGAGGUAGAGCUCUCAUAGGGUCUGAUCACCCUCCUCCAGGAAGUCCUCCAGGCAACCCCUACUUCCUUUACUCUGACCCCAUCCCUGCCUCUGCCCCCUCAGAACAGCCCUCCUCACUCCCUUCGCAUAGCAGACACUCCAUACCUGUGAAUGAAUGAAUGAAUGAAUGAAUGUAGGCUGUCUUAGGGUCUGCCUUUUGCUUGUCCCCUGACAGAUCACCUAUAAGCUCUUACCAGCCCCUCCAGGGUCUCAUAUGCCAGCAGGUUGGCCAUGAGUUCUGUCUGUACUGCUCUUGAGAAAACAACCCCCUCUCUGUGCAUUUCUGCCCUUGUUUGUGCCCGGCUGGCCCCUCGUGGCUCACACACUUCUCUCCUCUCCCUGGAUGUCCCCAGCAGCUUCCAGUCGGGCCUUGCUCUUGGGCUGUGCUUCUCAUCCCAUCAUAACUGCUGGCCCAGUCUGUGCCCAGGCUUUGGGUGACCCAUCUAUGACUCCACAUUUCUAGUGAACUUACCCAUCUAUUCAUUCAACAAAUAUCCACUGGACACUUACUGUGGGUGAGGCACUGUGCUGGGUGCUGACAUCAGCAGGGAAUAAGAUAAAGCCCUUGGCUUCCUGAGAAAAAGGCAAUUAAGCAACAAAGAAUAAACCACAAUUGCAGGAUGCAGCACAUGCUAAGGAAAAAGAAAACAGGAAUUACAUCAAGAAUAACCGGGGUCUGCUGACUCUGAACUGGUGGCCAGGGACAGCCACUCUGAGGAGGGGACAGCUGAGCUAAGAGUCUAAGGAUGAAGAGCCAGCAUCCGUGGAGUUCAGAGAGCAGCAUUCUAGGCAGAGGGAACAGCAAGUGCAAAGGCCCAGUGGCAUGUUUGGAGAAAAAGAAGGAAGCCUGUGUGGGUGGAGCACAGCUGAGCUGAGGAGGUCAUUGGGGCCAGGCCUGCAGGGCCUUAUUGGCCACGUAAGGAGUUUGGAUUCUGUUGUCAGCUUCACAGAAAGCCACUGGUGUCUUUAAAGUCAGAAGGCGAUGAUGGAGUUCCCAUUGUGGCUCAGCGGAUGGUGAACCUGACCCGUAUCCAUGAGGAUGCAGAUUCAAUCCCUGGCCCCGCUCAGUGGUUUAAGGACUUGGCAUUGCCACCAGCUGUGGCGAAGUUUGCCCAUGUGGCUUGGAUCUGGUGUUGCCAUGGCGGUGGUGUAGGCUGGCAGCUGCAGCUCUGAUUCUACCCCUGGCCUGGGAACUUCCAUAUGCUGCAGAUGUGAC
rnacentral:lncRNA from 1 species